rnacentral:rRNA from 1 species
UACGGAGGGUGCAAGCGUUGUCCGGAUUUAUUGGGUUUAAAGGGUGCGUAGGCGGAUUCGUAAGUCAGUGGUGAAAUCCAGCGGCUCAACCGUUGAAUUGCCAUUGAUACUGCAGGUCUUGAGUAAAUUCGAGGUGGACGGAAUGUGUGGUGUAGCGGUGAAAUGCAUAGAUAUCACACAGAACACCGAUUGCGAAGGCAAUCCACUAGAAUUUUACUGACGCUGAUGCACGAAAGCGUGGGGAGCAAACAGG